CUGUGCUAUCUUGUCUGUGGUUCGAAGGUGAGAUUAGCACAGCACUAUAGGCGGAAUCUUCGAGAACCGUAAGACUAUUCAUAUAAA
rfam:Bombyx mori DNA, contig: Bm_scaf4_contig4000, strain: p50T/Dazao, build 2, whole genome shotgun sequence.